UACGUAGGUGGCAAGCGUUGUCCGGAUUUACUGGGUGUAAAGGGCGUGUAGCCGGGUUGACAAGUCAGAUGUGAAAUCCUGCGGCUUAACCGCAGAACUGCAUUUGAAACUGUUGAUCUUGAGUACUGGAGAGGCAGACGGAAUUCCUAGUGUAGCGGUGAAAUGCGUAGAUAUUAGGAGGAACACCAGUGGCGAAGGCGGUCUGCUGGACAGCAACUGACGGUGAGGCGCGAAAGCGUGGGGAGCAAGCAGG
rnacentral:rRNA from 1 species